rnacentral:misc_RNA from 1 species
UCCCGGUUGGCCCGGGCAGUCUCGUAUGAAAAAUACAACAUACGGCAAGGGUUGCGCUCGUUGCGGGACUUAACCCAACAUCUCACGACACGAGCUGACGACGGCCAUGCAGCACCUGUCACUAGGCUCCCGAAGGCACUCCUCUGUUUCCAAAAGAUUCCUAGGAUGUCAAGCCUGGGUAAGGUUCUCCGCGUAUCGUCAAAUUAAACCACAUCAUCCACCGCUUGUGCGGGUCCCCGUCAAUUCCUUUGAGUUUUAGCCUUGCGGCCGUACUUCCCAGGCGGCAUACUUAACGCGUUAGCUUCGCCGCACAGGGGGUCGAUACCCCAUACGGCUAGUAUGCAUCGUUUACGGCGUGGACUAC